rnacentral:rRNA from 1 species
GACGAACGCUGGCGGCGUGCUUAAUACAUGCAAGUCGAACGGAAAGGCCCUGCUUUUGUGGGGUGCUCGAGUGGCGAACGGGUGAGUAACACGUGAGUAACCUGCCCUUGACUUUGGGAUAACUUCAGGAAACUGGGGCUAAUACCGGAUAGGAGCUCCUGCUGCAUGGUGGGGGUUGGAAAGUUUCGGCGGUUGGGGAUGGACUCGCGGCUUAUCAGCUUGUUGGUGGGGUAGUGGCUUACCAAGGCUUUGACGGGUAGCCGGCCUGAGAGGGUGACCGGCCACAUUGGGACUGAGAUACGGCCCAGACUCCUACGGGAGGCAGCAGCGGGGAAUAUUGCACAAUGGGCGGAAGCCUGAUGCAGCAACGCCGCGUGCGGGAUGACGGCCUUCGGGUUGUAAACCGCUUUCGCCUGUGACGAAGCGUGAGUGACGGUAAUGGGUAAAGAAGCACCGGCUAACUACGUG